GAUGAACGCUGGCGGUAUGCUUAACACAUGCAAGUCGAACGGACUCUUCGGAGUUAGUGGCGGACGGGGGAGUAACGCGUGGGAAUCUGGCUUUGGGUUCGGGACAACCACUGGAAACGGUGGCUAAUACCGGAUGUGCCGAUAGGUAAAAGAGAAAUUGCCUGAAGAUGAGCUCGCGUCCGAUUAGCUAGUUGGUGAGGUAAAGGCUCACCAAGGCAGCGAUCAGUAGCUGGUCUGAGAGGAUGACCAGCCACACUGGGACUGAGACACGGCCCAGACUCCUCCGGGAGGAAGAAGUGGGGAAUUUUCCGAAAUGGGCGAAAGCCUGACGGAGCAAUACCGCGUGAGGGAAGCAGGCUCUUGGGUUGAAAACCUCUUUUCUUAGGGAAGAACAAAAUGACGGUACCUAAGGAAUCAGCAUCGGCUAACUCCGUG
rnacentral:rRNA from 1 species